CGAACUUCCGUUAAUUGAUUAUGACGUACUUGUACUGAUUGAGAUUUUAACACGAAGUGAGUGGCGAACGGGUGAGUAACACGUGGGUAACCUGCCCAGAAGUAGGGGAUAACACCUGGAAACAGAUGCUAAUACCGUAUAACAGAGAAAACCGCAUGGUUUUCUUUUAAAAGAUGGCUCUGCUAUCACUUCUGGAUGGACCCGCGGCGUAUUAGCUAGUUGGUGAGGUAAAGGCUCACCAAGGCAGUGAUACGUAGCCGACCUGAGAGGGUAAUCGGCCACAUUGGGACUGAGACACGGCCCAGACUCCUACGGGAGGCAGCAGUAGGGAAUCUUCCACAAUGGACGCAAGUCUGAUGGAGCAACGCCGCGUGAGUGAAGAAGGGUUUCGGCUCGUAAAGCUCUGUUGUUAAAGAAGAACGUGGGUAAGAGUAACUGUUUACCCAGUGACGGUAUUUAACCAGAAAGCCACGGCUAACUACGUGCCAGCAGCCGCGGUAAUACGUAGGUGGCAAGCGUUAUCCGGAUUUAUUGGGCGUAAAGCGAGCGCAGGCGGUCUUUUAAGUCUAAUGUGAAAGCCUUCGGCUCAACCGAAGAAGUGCAUUGGAAACUGGGAGACUUGAGUGCAGAAGAGGACAGUGGAACUCCAUGUGUAGCGGUGAAAUGCGUAGAUAUAUGGAAGAACACCAGUGGCGAAGGCGGCUGUCUGGUCUGCAACUGACGCUGAGGCUCGAAAGCAUGGGUAGCGAACAGGAUUAGAUACCCUGGUAGUCCAUGCCGUAAACGAUGAUUACUAAGUGUUGGAGGGUUUCCGCCCUUCAGUGCUGCAGCUAACGCAUUAAGUAAUCCGCCUGGGGAGUACGACCGCAAGGUUGAAACUCAAAAGAAUUGACGGGGGCCCGC
rnacentral:rRNA from 1 species